rnacentral:lncRNA from 1 species
CUUCAUCCCCGUAAAGGGACAAAUCGGAGCAAAACAAACAGACGCAACACUCUAAAGAAACAUCAGGCUAGGUUACAUGAGAGAUGACUACAAUCUAUAACUACAGAACAAAGAAGCAGAGAGGGUCAAAGGCAAGGGAAAUAAGGCUAGGGAAGCUUGUUCCCUCCUCCGGUGAACACAGGUGACUAUCAAUCCGGUUACCGAAGCUUUUCACGGCGGGGUGUCCAAGCCUGCGCUAGAUCCGCCACUGGUUUCCUUCAAUCAGUCACCCACCGGUUUCCUUCAAACUUGAUCUUGAUUCAGUUGUUUACUCAUCUGAACUAUGUAACCGAUCUUGAUUAGGACCUCGGCGUCUCUCGCGUGCCGAUCGAACCUCACCUCGACCGAGACUCUGCAUCUCGAGUUUCCCUUGUGUUUAAUCUCGUCCCUCGCACCUCGACGCAACGGAGACGGCAGCGUGUAGCGUCUCCCGGACGGAGGCGAGAAGGUCUAGAGCUAGCUGGUUGGUGGAAGACGCGCCGGCGGAGUCGGAGAUGUCGGCGAGGUGAGUGUUGAGAUCGGUGAGAGAAGAGAAAUAGGGGGAUAAUUGUCUUCAUAAAUUGUUGAACAGUACUUAAAAGUACCUUAUGGUAUUGACCUAAUUUCGCCUAAAGCUGAGUGUAGAGAGUGCAAUUUCUCUUUUUUUAAUAUGUAAAAAAUUCUUGUUUAGGGUUUCGAUGAAAAACGCUCUCAAUUUAAG